CAUAAAUGAAAUUAUGUUCAUGAAAAUACAAGAUUUAAGCAUAGAGAAAUGUGUUAAAUACCUUUAAUUAUUUUUAUGAAGCUUGCUCCUCUUAGAGUCCUAAAUAGGUAUUUCCAUUAUUUGAUUCCAGAUCCAUCAAGACAAUCACUUACUGGUUCUCCAGGGACAACUGUCUUAUCCCGUAGUUUUUGGAUAUUGAAAGGGAUAGAUAUUGUUCCCACACACUGCAGAAUCAUGCUGGUCAAGAGGGAGCCUAAAAAAGAAGAUUGCUAGAACCAAUUCUGAGUUGAAUAAUUAAUGGAGUUCCUGCCUCCUAACUUUGUAGUACAAACCAGUGAAUCAUUAUAGAUCUUUCAGUGUUACUGUUAGGAAAACUGGGAACUACCUUCAAAAACCUCCUAUUAUGGGUAAGUAAUUUGAUUUCUCUUCCCCAUAAAUCAUUCUUUUUUAGAAUAUAAAAUUAAAGGGAUUUCUUGACAUUUACCUACCUUUACCUAGGA
rnacentral:lncRNA from 1 species